CCACAACGGGUGGAGCCUGCGGUUUAAUUGGACUCAACGCCGGGCAGCUCACCGGAUAAGACAGCUGGAUGAUAGCCGGGCUGAAGACUCUGCUUGACUAGCUGAGAGGAGGUGCAUGGCCGUCGUCAGUUCGUACUGUGAAGCAUCCUGUUAAGUCAGGCAACGAGCGAGACCCACGCCAACAGUUGCCAGCAUGUCCUCCGGGAUGAUGGGGACACUGUUGGGACCGCCUCUGCUAAAGAGGAGGAAGGAAUGGGCAACGGUAGGUCAGCAUGCCCCGAAUUAUCCGGGCUACACGCGGGCUACAAUGGUCAGGACAAUGGGUAUCGACACCGAGAGGUGGAGGCAAUCUCCUAAACCUGUCCUUAGUUCGGAUUGUGGGCUGCAACUCGCCCACAUGAAGCUGGAAUCUGUAGUAAUCGUGUCUCAAAAUGGCACGGUGAAUAUGUCCCUGCUCCUU
rnacentral:rRNA from 1 species